GGUCUGAUUAUGGCUCAGAUUGAACGCUGGCGGGAUGCUUUACACAUGCAAGUCGAACGGCAGCACGGACUUCGGUCUGGUGGCGAGGGCGAACGGGUGAGUAAUGCAUCGGAACGUGCCUAGUAGCGGGGGAUAACUACGCGAAAGCGUAGCUAAUACUGCAUACGCCCUCGUGGGGAAAGCGGGGACCUUUCGCCUCAAAUUAUUAGAGCGGCCGAUAUUUGGCUAGUUGGUGGGGUAACGGCUCACCAAGGCGACGAUCCGUAGCUGGUUUGAGAGGACACCAGCCACACUGGGACUCACACCUGACUCUACGGGAGGCAGCAGGGUAUUCUGACAAUGGGAACGGAUCCACAUCCGCGUGUGCGAUGAAGGCCUUCGGGUUGUAAAGCACUUUUGCAGAGUUAAACGCACGGAUAAUACCCGUGCAACUGACGGUACCUGGUGAGAAUAAGCACCGGCUAACUACGCGCCAGCAGCCGGUAAUACGUAGGUGCAAGCGUUAAUCGGAAUUACUGGCGUAAAGCGUGCGCAGGUAUGCGGUUCGGAAAGAAAGAUGUGAAAUCCCAGAGCCAACUUUGAACUGCAUUUUUAACUAACAGCCAGAGUGGCCAGAGGGAGGUGGAAUUCCGCGCGCAGCAGUGAAAUGCGUAGAUAUGCGGAGGAACACCGAUGGCGAAGGCAGCCUCUGGGAUAACACUGACGCUCAUGCACGAGCGUGGGGAGCAAACAGGAUUAGAUACCCUGGUAGUCCACGCCUCUAAACGAUGUCAACUAGCUGUUGGGGCCUUUCGGCCUUGUAGCAGCUAACGCGUGUGAAGUUGACCGCCUGGGGAGUACGGUCGUAAGAUUAAAAACUCAAAGGAAUUGACGGGGACCCGCACAAGCGGUGGAUGAUGUGGAUUAAUUCGAUGCAACGCGAAAACCUUACCUACCCUUGAUUAUGUCUGGAAUCCUGAAGAGAUUUGGGAGUGCUCGCAAGAGGAACUCGGAACACAGGUGCUGCAUGGCUGCCGUCAGCUCGUGUCGUAGAUACGGUUGGGUCCGGCAACGAGCAACCUGGUCAUUAGUUGCUAUGAAAGGGCACUCUAAUGAGAUCGCUGGUGACAAACCGGAGGAAGGUGGGGAUGACGUCAAGUCCUCAUGGCCCUGCAGGUAGGGCUUCACACGUCAUACAAUGGUCGGGACAGAGGGUCGCCAACCCGCGAGGGGAGCCAAUCCCAGAAACCCGAUCGGUCCGGAUCGUGUCUGCAACUCGACUGCGUGAAGUCGGAAUCGCUAGUACCUAUGGAUGAAAGGGCGUCGCGUGAAUACGUUCCCGGGUCUUGCAAUACCACCGCCCGUCACACCAUGGGAGUGGGUUUUACCAGAAGUAGUUAGUCAACCGUAAGGAGGGCGAUUACCACGGUAGGAUUCAUGACUGGGGUGGCCGUGGAACAAGGUAA
rnacentral:rRNA from 1 species